CGGCCAUGUGCGCUUAGCGCAGCGCGCUCUUACCUCAGUACCCCGGCCGCGACCCUCCGAGCCCCUGGAGCCCGGGUAAAGUGAACAGAGUUAUCUGUGACAUUCCAUCAGGCACCUAUGUAACGAAAUCAUACCGUAAUAACUCACCAUGGCGUAUGGAGUGCCAAGAAAGAACACAGUGAAAACCAUUUUGCGGGGCAGUUGUUAUAAUGUGGUCUCACACUGUCACGCAGGCUGGAAUGUUGUGCACCUCCUGGGCUUGAGUGAUCCUCCCAUCUCAGCCUCCUGAGUAGCUGGGACCACAGGCACACACCACUGUGCCCGACAGGAACCUUGGGAUAUUGCAUUGCUUGCAAAGACCUGGUCCACAAACCUAGCCAAUAUCAAGUUGCCUUUCUUGGAAGAAAUUUCAUUUGGUGGUUCUGUGCAGCUCACAAAAUGUACCACCAUUAAAGAUGGACUGCUCCCUUCUGCAGAAUCUAUCAAACUCGAAAGGGAGUAUGAAGUGAAGCGUCUUUGUAAACUGAAGUGUCAAGAAAAUACAUCUAAGGAAAUUCAGCUUCUCCUGAGGGAAAGGCCAGCCGGUUUGAGAAGACCUCUUCCAUCUAAAUGACAGUCAGUUCAUGAUUGAAUCUGUACUCUGUGUCUUGCAUCCAAAGGGCAUGAAGGUCUCUGGACCUUUCACUAUGUAUAGUUCAGGGCAGAUAUUUGAAUGCCCACUGGUGGAUGGGCCACUGCCCACAGCUGUGGGUUAGUACCCAGUUCUGACAGAUCUUCUGAGUCCCUGACAUACUCUUGUUCCUUGUGUCACAAACGACAGCACUGUAAGUAGAUGAAAAUGCAUUUGGAGUUGAGUCGUUUGUGCUAUUCAUUUUAAUUUUUGUAAAAUUGCACUAAAAGAAGAGGAAAUUUCUUCAGCUGCAUUGUUUUCAAAAGACAUCUUAAAUAUGCAUCUUUGAGAUCCCAAGGAGGGACCAAAAGAAGGCAAGAGAGAAAUUCUCUUAAAAAUGAUAAACUGAAACAUUUCAUUUGGUUAAGAAAAAUAAUAGACUUCAUUUUUAGUACCUCCCUAGUUUCCAAUUUUCUUUUUUUUAAAUAUAUAUAUUUUUUAUUGUACUUUAAGUUCUAGGGUACAUGUGCACAACGUGCAGGUUUGUUACAUAUGUAUACAUGGGCCAUGUUGGUGUGCUGCAUCCAGUAACUCAUCAUUUACAUUAGGUAUAUCUCCUAAUGCUAUCCCUCCCCCAUACCCCCACCCCACAACAGGCCCCCGUGUGUGAUGUUCCCCUUCCUGUGUCCAAGUGUUCUCAUUUUUCAAUUCUCACCUAUGAGUGAGAACAUGCGGUGUUUGGUUUUUUGUCCUUGUGAUAGUUUGCUGAGAAUGAUGGUUUCCAGCUUCACCCAUGUCCCUACAAAGGACAUGAACUCAUUAUUUUUUAUGGCUGCAUAGUAUUCCAUGGUGCAUUUGUGCCACAUUUUCUUAAUCCAGUCUAUCAUUGUUGGACAUUUGGGUUGGUUCCAAGUCUUUGCUAUUGUGAGUAGUGCCACAAUAAACAUACGUGUGCAUGUGUCUUUAUAGCAGCAUGAUUUAUAUUCCUUUGGGUAUAUACCUAGUAAUGGGAUGGCUGGGUCAAAUGGUAUUUCUAGUUCUAGAUCCCUGAGGAAUUGCCACACUGUCUUCCACAAUGGUUGAACUAGUUUACAGUCCCACCAACAGUGUAAAAGUGUUCCUAUUUCUCCACAUCCUCCCCAGCACCUGUUGUUUCCUGACUUUUUAAUGAUCCUCAUUCUAACUGGUGUGAGAUGAUAUCUCAUUGUGGUUUUGAUUUGCAUUUCUCUGAU
rnacentral:lncRNA from 10 species